rnacentral:rRNA from 1 species
GUGAGGAAUUUUCCGCAAUGGGCGAAAGCCUGACGGAGCAAUGCCGCGUGACGGAUGAAGGCCUAUGGGUUGUAAACUUCUUUUCUCAGAAAAGAAUUAUGACGGUAUCUGAGGAAUAAGCAUCGGCUAACUCUGUGCCAGCAGCCGCGGUAAGACAGAGGAUGCAAGCGUUAUCCGGAAUGAUUGGGCGUAAAGCGUCUGUAGGUUGUUUAAAAAGUAUUCUGUCAAAGAUUAGGGCUUAACCCUAGAUAGGCAGAAUAAACUUUUAAGCUAGAGUUUGGUAGAGGCAGAGGGAAUUCCCGGUGGAGCGGUGAAAUGCGUAGAUAUCGGGAGGAACACCAAAGGCGAAGGCACUCUGCUGGGCCAAUACUAACACUGAGAGACGAAAGCGAGGGGAGCAAAUGGGAUUAGAUACCCCAGUAGUCC